GACGAACGCUGGCGGCGUGCUUAACACAUGCAAGUCGAGCGGUAAGGCUCCUUCGGGAGUACACGAGCGGCGAACGGGUGAGUAACACGUGAGCAAUCUGCCCUUCUCAUCGGAAUAACCAUUGGAAACGAUGGCUAAUGCCGAAUACGACUUCCUUUCGCAUGUCAGGAAGUGGAAAGCUCCGGCGGAGAAGGAUGAGCUCGCGGCCUAUCAGCGUGUUGGCGGGGUAACGGCCCACCAAGGCAACGACGGGUAGCCGGCCUGAGAGGGUGACCGGCCACACUGGGACUGAGACACGGCCCAGACUCCUACGGGAGGCAGCAGUGGGGAAUAUUGGACAAUGGGCGAAAGCCUGAUCCAGCAACGCCGCGUGAGGGAUGACGGCCUUCGGGUUGUAAACCUCUUUCAGCAGGGACGAAGCGAAAGUGACGGUACCCGCAGAAGAAGGACCGGCCAACUACGUGCCAGCCGCCGCGGUAA
rnacentral:rRNA from 1 species